GCUAGACACCUCAGCUGCCAAGGCAAACGGCCCUGCUUCCUACCACUGCACCUUCUUACCUGCCUUCUUCCUCCUCUGCCUGCAAAACUAUUCACUUUCGACCCCUGUGGUUCCAGGGCCCUGCGGAAGAUUUGAUGAGGAAACUGGGAAUGACUGAGUGAUAAAGCUAGGAUUCAGAGCUUCUCUGGGGGUCUGUCUAGCGGUAAAGAAUUCGCCUGCUAAUGCAAGAGAUCUGGGUUUGAACCCUGGUCGGGGAAGAUUCCACAUAAUGCAGAGAAACAAAGCCCAAGCGCCACAACUACCGAGCCCAGGACCUAGGGCCUGUGCACCCUACCAAAAGAAACUACGCCAACAAGAAGCCUGCACAUCCCAACAAAGAGUACCCCGUGCCACAAGUGGAGAAAGCCAGCAUGCAGCAAUAAAGACCCAGCACGGCCAAAAAUAUAUAAUACAUCAAUAAAUGAAUAAAGUUUAGAAAGGAAUAUUAAAUUAUAAAGAAAAAUAAUGAGUUUCAUAAAAUAUAUUUUUUUUAAAGCUAGGAUUCCCAAGGCCUCAGAGCCCACCUUCCGAACUAUAGCAUCUGCCAGUUGAUCAUGUCCAUCCUCUGUGUGUUAAGUUUGGCAGAGCAACCACACAUUUCUUUCACUUGGAAUCCAGCAACACUGAGUCUGCAUUCUUUGUUUCCUUGAACAAGAAACAGCUGGUGCAGAACUGUGGCUUCCUCUUUGGGGUGAGACAAGUACUCGCUAGAUCCACACAGUCCCAUCCAGCUUGCUUCAGUCCUAGCAGAAGCACUACUGGCCCCACCUUAUUAACUGAGACCCGAAAAUAAGCCUACUGAAGGUCAAGGCCAUUUCUCACACUCUAGAGAGCACCUCAGGACCACACGGUGUGCCUGCACCCCUCGCUGGCUGAUAGAGAGAUGGCUGAGUGUGACUGCAUACAGAGAAAGAGGAGAACUUUUGCUUUUCACUUUAUAACCUACUCUGCAGUUUGACAGUUUUACCAUGAGCAGAUAUUAUUUGUA